GCGAGUGAAGCGGCAAAAGCUCAAAUUUGAAAUCUAGUACCUUCGGUGCUCGAGUUGUAAUUUGAAGAUGGUAACUUUGGAGUUGGCCCUUGUCUAUGUUCCUUGGAACAGGACGUCACAGAGGGUGAGAAUCCCGUCUGACGAGGUGAUCCAACUCUAUGUAAAGUGCUAUCGAAGAGUCGAGUUGUUUGGGAAUGCAGCUCUAAGUGGGUGGUAAAUUCCAUCUAAAGCUAAAUAUUGGCGAGAGACCGAUAGCGAACAAGUACAGUGAUGGAAAGAUGAAAAGAACUUUGAAAAGAGAGUGAAAAAGUACGUGAAAUUGUUGAAAGGGAAGGGUAUUAGAUCAGACUUGGCGUUUUAUGAUUAUCUUCUCUUCUUGAGUUGUGCACUCGUAUUGCGCUGGGCCAGCAUCGAUUCGGAUGGCAGGAUAAUGGCAAUUGAAUGUGGCAUCCACUUCGGUGUAUGUGUUAUAGCUUUUGUUGAUGCUGCCUAUCUGGAUCGAGGACUGCGUCUUUUGACUAGGAUGUUGGCGUAAUGAUCUAAUAUCGCCCGUCUUGAAACACGGA
rnacentral:rRNA from 1 species